rnacentral:rRNA from 1 species
GACGAACGCUGGCGGCGUGCUUAACACAUGCAAGUCGAACGGAAAGGCCCUGCUUGCCGGGUACUCGAGUGGCGAACGGGUGAGUAACACGUGGGUGAUCUGCCCUGCACUUCGGGAUAAGCUUGGGAAACUGGGUCUAAUACCGGAUAGGAGCCAUCUUUAGUGUGGUGGUUGGAAAGUUUUUUCGGUGUAGGAUGAGCUCGCGGCCUAUCAGCUUGUUGGUGGGGUAAUGGCCUACCAAGGCGGCGACGGGUAGCCGGCCUGAGAGGGUGUACGGCCACAGCGGGAAUGAGAGACGGCCCAGACUCCUACGGGAGGCAGCAGUGGGGAAUAUUGCACAAUGGGCGCAAGCCUGAUGCAGCGACGCCGCGUGGGGGAUGAAGGCCUUCGGGUUGUAAACUCCUGUCGCUAGGGACGAAGCGUUUUUGUGACGGUACCUAGAGAAGAAGCACCGGCUAACUACGUG